UACGUAGGUGGCAAGCGUUGUCCGGAUUUACUGGGCGUAAAGAGCGCGCAGGUGGUCGUUCAAGUCGCGUGUGAAAGCCCCCGGCUCAACUGGGGAGGGUCACGCGAUACUGAUCGACUCGAAGGCAGGAGAGGGAAGUGGAAUUCCCGGUGUAGUGGUGAAAUGCGUAGAUAUCAGGAGGAACACCGGUGGUGUAGACGGCUCACUGGACCGUAACUGACGCUGAGACACGAAAGCGUGGGUAGCAAACAGG
rnacentral:rRNA from 1 species